CCAAUAGCGUAUAUUAAAGUUGUUGCAGUUAAAAAGCUCGUAGUUGAAUUUCGGGAUCAAAUUGUUGGUCGUGCUUCGGUACGCACUGGCAUUAUUGGUUUCUACCUUCUGAAGAACCGCGAUGUCAUUAAUUUGGUGUCGUGGGGAAUCAGGACUGUUACUUUGAAAAAAUUAGAGUGUUUAAAGCAGGCUUACGCUUGAAUACAUUAGCAUGGAAUAAUGAAAUAGGACGUUUGAUUCUAUUUUGUUGGUUUCUAGGAUCGACGUAAUGAUUAAUAGGGAUAGUUGGGGGCAUUAGUAUUCAAUUGUCAGAGGUGAAAUUCUUGGAUUUAUUGAAGACUAACUACUGCGAAAGCAUUUGCCAAGGAUGUUUUCAUUAAUCAAGAACGAAAGUUAGGGGAUCGAAGACGAUCAGAUACCGUCGUAGUCUUAACCAUAAACUAUGCCGACUAGGGAUCGGAUGAUGUUAUUUUUAAUGACUCAUUCGGCGCCUUACG
rnacentral:rRNA from 1 species